rnacentral:lncRNA from 1 species
UGGAGACUGAACACCAUCCAUCGAGUGGAGGAACUAAAAGCGGUGAUCCGAAUGGGACCAAUAUGGGCAGCAGGAAUCCUCCUCAUCACAGCCUAUGCUCAGCAAAACACAUUCUCCCUCCAACAGGCCAAAACCAUGAACAGGCACCUCACCAAGUCAUUUGAGAUCCCUGCUGGUUCCAUGACUGUCUUCACCAUGGUCUCCAUGCUCUCCACCAUAGCCUUGUAUGACCGUGUUUUGGUCCGCAUUGCCCGUAGAUACACAGGGCUCGACCGGGGCAUCAGCUUCCUGCACCGGAUGGGAAUAGGAUUCAUGAUAUCAGUAUUAGCCACUCUGGUAGCAGGCUUCACGGAAGUGAAGCGUAAAGAAGCGGCUUUAGCACAUGGGCUUCAAGACAAGGCUCAUGCAAUCAUCCCCAUCUCAGUGUUCUGGCUUGUGCCUCAGUACAGUCUUCAUGGAAUAGCGGAGGCAUUCAUGUCGAUUGGACACUUGGAAUUCUUUUAUGAUCAGGCACCUGAAAGCAUGAGGAGUACAGCUACCGCACUGUUUUGGACCGCAAUCUCAGUCGGAAAUUACAUGAGCACGCUGCUGGUUUCUUUAGUACACAAAUUCAGCGCAAGAGCUGAUGGAUCAAAUUGGCUUCCAGAUAACAACUUGAACGAGGGCAAAUUGGAGUACUUUUACUGGUUG